rnacentral:rRNA from 1 species
AUUGAACGCUGGCGGCAUGCCUUACACAUGCAAGUCGAACGGCAGCACGGGUGCUUGCACCUGGUGGCGAGUGGCGAACGGGUGAGUAAUACAUCGGAACAUGUCCUGUAGUGGGGGAUAGCCCGGCGAAAGCCGGAUUAAUACCGCAUACGAUCCACGGAUGAAAGCGGGGGACCUUCGGGCCUCGCGCUAUAGGGUUGGCCGAUGGCUGAUUAGCUAGUUGGUGGGGUAAAGGCCUACCAAGGCGACGAUCAGUAGCUGGUCUGAGAGGACGACCAGCCACACUGGGGCUGAGACACGGCCCAGACUCCUACGGGAGGCAGCAGUGGGAAAUUUUGGACAAUGGGCGAAAGCCUGAUCCAGCAAUGCCGCGUGUGUGAAGAAGGACUUCGGGUUGUAAAGCACUUUUGUCCGGAAAGAAAUCCUUGACUCUAAUACAGUCGGGGGAUGACGGUACCGGAAGAAUAAGCACCGGCUAACUACGUG